UUCAAUUGUUCCCCAAACGCAUAAAUAUCGAUGGUAAAGUCUUUCAGUAUCAGAUUUUGUUCUGGCAGUUGACCAAAGCACUAUCAUGAUGCAAAAAACAUUAAUUAUCUUCGCUUUCCUGCUCUUUGUAACAGCAAUGUCCUCUGUCAAUGGCUGGACUCAACCUCCUGAUUGUGGACCGCAUAACCAAUUUUGGGAAAUAUGUUGCAACAGUCAUAUCGUUCCAAAACGACAUUGGUCUAAUAAUGCCUGUUGUGGAUAUAUCCCUUACACCUCGUCACACCCCUUCCACGAACAUUGCUGUCAUCAUCAUUGGCCUUUUUUCCAUAAUUUCAUAUGCUGAAGUAAAUCCGAACUACAUAUAAGUAUAUUCUGAUUAUGGAAUUAUCUAACAAUGUAACAUGACAAUUUGCUCGAUCCUGUCUCAAUGAUUCAAUGAUAAAUAUAAUUACAUUCAUUAUAUAGAUUAUUAAUUUCAAAAAAUAUAAUAAACGAUGCUAUUAUUGACGUAGGGUAUAUAAUGCUGCUGACGCCGAUUUUGAAACCCUUUUUAACGUAUUACAUAAAACGUUGUAAAUCACUUUUCUUCAUGUAAGACUUUAGUUAAUUUCCUAUCGUUAAUCAGAGAUAAUUUGCUUAAAUUUUGAAAGUAACAUUGUGCAGAAAAUAUAAGGAAUAAAAAUAAUGAAUGAUAUAAAA